AGAGUUUGAUCCUGGCUCAGGACGAACGCUGGCGGCGUGCCUAAUACAUGCAAGUCGAGCGGACUUUGAUGGGUGCUUGCACCCGGAUGAGUUAGCGGCGGACGGGUGAGUAACACGUAGGCAACCUGCCCUCAAGACUGGGAUAACCUCCGGAAACGGAAGCUAAGACCGGAUAGAUGAGUUUCUCGCAUGAGAGAGUC
rnacentral:rRNA from 1 species